UACGUAGGGUGCAAGCGUUGUCCGGAAUUAUUGGGCGUAAAGAGCUCGUAGGCGGCUUGUCACGUCGGCUGUGAAAACCCGGGGCUCAACCCCGGGCCUGCAGUCGAUACGGGCAAGCUAGAGUUCGGCAGGGGAGACUGGAAUUCCUGGUGUAGCGGUGAAAUGCGCAGAUAUCAGGAGGAACACCGGUGGCGAAGGCGGGUCCCUGGGACGGUACUGACGCUGAGACGCGAAAGCGUGGGGAGCGAACAGG
rnacentral:rRNA from 1 species